rnacentral:rRNA from 1 species
CCUAUGGGAGGCAGCAGUGGGGGAUAUUGCACAAUGGGGGGAACCCUGAUGCAGCGACGCCGCGUGGGUGAAGAAGCGCCUCGGCGCGUAAAGCCCUGUCAGCAGGGGAGAAAAUGACGGUACCUGAAGAAGAAGCCGCGGCUAAAUACGUGCCAGAAGCCGUGGGUAUACGGAGGGGGCAAGCGUAAUCCGGAGUUACUGGGUGUAAAGGGGGCGCAGACGGCGGGGCAAGCCAGGAGUGAAAGGCCGGGGCCCAACCCCGGGACUGCUCUUGGAACUGCGUGGCUGGAGUGCAGGAGGGGCAGGCGGAAUGCCUGGUGUAGCGGUGAAAUGCGUAGAUAUCAGGAUGAACACCGGUGGCGAAGGCAGCCUGCUGGACUACAACUGACGUUGAGGCCCGAAAGCGUGGGGAGCAAACAGGAUUAGAUACCCCGGUAGUC